GACGAACGCUGGCGGCGUGCUUAACACAUGCAAGUCGAACGGAAAGGCCCUGCUUUUGUGGGGUGCUCGAGUGGCGAACGGGUGAGUAACACGUGAGUAACCUGCCCUUGACUUUGGGAUAACUUCAGGAAACUGGGGCUAAUACCGGAUAGGAGCUCCUGCGGCAUGGUGGGGGUUGGAAAGUUUCGGCGGUUGGGGAUGGACUCGCGGCUUAUCAGCUUGUUGGUGGGGUAGUGGCUUACCAAGGCUUUGACGGGUAGCCGGCCUGAGCGGGUGACCGGCCACAUUGGGACUGAGAUACGGCCCAGACUCCUACGGGAGGCAGCAGUGGGGAAUAUUGCACAAUGGGCGGAAGCCUGAUGCAGCAACGCCGCGUGCGGGAUGACGGCCUUCGGGUUGUAAACCGCUUUCGCCUGUGACGAAGCGUGAGUGACGGUAAUGGGUAAAGAAGCACCGGCUAACUACGUG
rnacentral:rRNA from 1 species